rnacentral:sRNA from 1 species
CAAAGAAAAAGUGUGAUUUUUCAAGGAAUCAAGUGUUUAAAGGUGGUGAGCUAUCUGAUACGGGUAAAAGACUACACCCGAGGACCGAGAAUAGGAGUAUAUCUACUCCUAGUACAGCUCAGAAUAGGCAGUAGACUGUCAAUUGCAUCGAGAAGUAA